UAAUUUGCCUGUGUUCAUCCUCUGUCUAGGCAAUCCCUUUGCCGCUCCUGAUCUGAUCUUGAAGCCUUGCCUCCAUCACUCCAUGCCCAAUGAUGGAAAAAAUUGUUAAUAUUGAGGGGAUUGACAGGGUUUAAAAUUCAACGGUUGCCUUUGCACUUCACCGGAAAAAUUAGCCGCCACCCACCUCUGUCCAGGCAAUCCCUUUGCGCCGCUCCUGAUCUGAUCUUGAAGCCUUGCCUCCAUGGUUAGACUCGCUGCUAAAGCCUUCCCUCAUUUUCCCCUGCUGAAAAUCCUCCCUCGGCGGCUCCGCCCUUUUGUUUAUGUUCUUUACUCCGGGAAAAUUGCUUGAGUUUAUACACACACAUACACACACACUGGUGCAUGGCUUGGCUGGUUUUUUUGUCGGUGAUCUGUGAAAGGCAUCUGUUGAAUUACCCGUCAAAUUCCGUCUAUGAUUCAUUGAAGCCAUGAGAUCUGAGGGCUUCUUAUGAAAUAUGUUUGAAAUUUUUUGCAUUUUUGGGAUAUUUAUUGCUUUAGUUUCUUA